AGGUCAUAAAUCUCACUGAAUGAGGCUUGCUUGCUUCUCUGACACCUGGUUCUCUCCUCCUGUCCAGAAUGGUGUGUCUGAGGCUGCCUUGAGGCUCCUUCAUGGCAGCGCUGACAGUGACACUAAUGGCGCUGAGCUCCCCACUGGCUUUGGCUGGGGACUCCCGACCACGUUUCUUGGAGCAGUUUGAGCGUCGUCCCCUCAACGGGACGGAGCGCGCGCGGCUCCUGGUCAGACACACCUACAACCAGGAGGAGUAUGUGGGUUCGACGGCGCCGUGGGGGGCUCCGGCCGGUGACGGAGCUGGGGCGGCCUGACCAACAGUACUACGACAGCCGGGAGGACAUCAUGGAGCAGACACGGGCCGCGGCGGACACUGUGUGCAGACGCGACGACAGGAUUCCUGAGAGGUUCCUGGUGCCACGGAGAGUCCAACCUAAGGUGACUGUGUAUCCUGCAAAGACCCAGCCCCUGCAGCACCACAGCCUCCUGGUCUGCUCCGUGAGUGGGUUCUAUCCAGGCAGCAUUGAAGUCAGGUGGUUCCGGAACGACCAGGAAGAGAAGGCUGGGGUGGUGUCCACAGGCCUGAUCCAGAAUGGAGACUGGACCUUCCAGACCCUGGUGAUGCUGGAAACAGUUCCUCAGAGUGGAGAGGCUUACAUCUGCCAAGUGGAGCACCCAAGCGUGAUGAGCCCUCUCACAGUGCAAUGGAGUGAGCAGCUUUCUGACUUCAUGAAUUUCUCACCCACCAAGGAGAGGACUCUGCUAAUCCCUGAGUGUCAGGUUUCUCCUCUCCCACAUCCUAUUGUCAUUGGCUCCAGGUUCUCAUCUCCAUCAGCACAGGUCACUAGGGGGAGCCCUUUAAUAGUUUCUGGGACAUACCUACUAGCCCCUGGAAAAGCAGUCAUUCCUACCAGGAAGAAGAGGCUGUUGCGCUUUUGA